GAUGAACGCUGGCGGCGUGCCUAAUACAUGCAAGUCGAGCGAACAGACGAGGAGCUUGCUCCUCUGACGUUAGCGGCGGACGGGUGAGUAACACGUGGAUAACCUACCUAUAAGACUGGGAUAACUUCGUGAAACCGGAGCUAAUACCGGAUAAUAUAUUGAACCGCAUGGUUCAAUAGUGAAAGACGGUUUUGCUGUCACUUAUAGAUUGAUCCGCGCCGCAUUAGCUAGUUGGUAAGGUAACGGCUUACCAAGGCAACGAUGCGUAGCCGACCUGAGAGGGUGAUCGGCCACACUGGAACUGAGACACGGUCCAGACUCCUACGGGAGGCAGCAGUAGGGAAUCUUCCGCAAUGGGCGAAAGCUUGACGGAGCAACGCCGCGUGAGUGAUGAAGGUCUUCGGAUCGUAAAACUCUGUUAUUAGGGAAGAACAAAUGUGUAAGUAACUAUGCAAGUCUUGACGGUACCUAAUCAGAAAGCCACGGCUAACUACGUG
rnacentral:rRNA from 1 species